UUUAGAGAACAUAAAAAAACUAGCUCGUUAUGGGAGGAAUCAUGGGGAAGUGUUUUAUUCUUAGCAUUUGGAUAUUGAAACUCCUCGGUGCUGCGCUGGGUGACUCGGUCCUGUCCAGGGAACCCGAAAAGUCUCGGUCAGAAGGAGACACUAUGACACUCAGCUGUUCUUACACCACCAGCCAGAACUAUGUCCUUCUCUACUGGUACCGCCAGUAUCUGCACCAAGCCCCGCAGUACAUUCUCCGGAAAGGAGCGAAGUCCUACAGCAGCCAAAGCCACACGGCACAUUUCGCCCAGGAAAGGUUUUCUUCCCGGGCAGAUGACAGCUCCACCGUUUUAACCAUCACAGCCCUGGAGCUGGCAGACACCGCAGUGUAUCUCUGCGCCCUGGGUCUGGCACCGUGA